GGAAUUGCUCCUCCCUGCUAAUCGAGCUGCUCGUCCCUGCUAUUAGAUUUCUCUCUCUCUCUCUCUCUCUCUCUCUCUCUCUCUCUCGGCCUCGGUUGCUUCACCACUGUAGCCUAAUUCAAUUCCUCUAUGAAUGAAGCAGGUAGCGUGCUACCUUUUUCUCAAAAAAAAAAAAAAAAAAACUUAUAGAAAUCAAAUUUUAUAAUUUUUCGACAUCAUUUCCCUUACGAUCAAGAUGUCACAAAUUUGACAAUUUUUAAUGACCGGUAUGGGAUACUUGCUAGUUUAACGGUGUAAAAGAAUCGAAAUUUGUUGAAUUUUUGAUAGAAAAUUCUAUUCACUACCUAGAUAAAGAUCAAUAACUCGAAUCUUGAAUUGAAGGAUCCGAUCAUCCUUUUUUAGGAUGUCGUUCGAUUUUGACCGUUCAUUUUAUGCCCGCUUGAUGGACUUUAUUAUGAUUUCGAAAAUUUAUGAAAUUUAUUUUCUAUAAGUUUCAAAUACUCUAGAUCAUAUUUAACAGAGUGGAUCGUCGAUUCGGAAGCUCCAUCAUCGAAAGCAACUUAUGAGUCUGAGGGCUCCAAUACUCAUAAUAGUAUAAUAGCUACGGCCUUGCGCACAUAGCAAUCAGUCGGUUAUGAUAUAAUAUUUGCGGUCCUAU
rnacentral:lncRNA from 1 species